GACGAACGCUGGCGGCGUGCUUAACACAUGCAAGUCGAACGGAAAGGCCCUGCUUUUGUGUGUUUCUCGAGUGGCGAACGGGUGAGUAACACAUGAGUAACCUGCCCUUUACUUGGUGAUAACUGCAGAAAACUGGGGCUAAUACCGGAUAGGAGCUCCUGCUGCAUGGUGGUGGUUGGAAAUUUUCGGCGGUUGGGGAUGGACUCGCGGCUUAUCAGCUGGUUGGUGGGGUAGUGGCUUACCAAGGCUUUGACGGGUAGCCGGCAUGAGAGGGUGACCGGCCACAUGGGGCCUGAGAUACGGCGCAGACGCCUAUGGGAGGCAGCAGUGGGGAAUCUUGCACAAUGGGGGGACGCCUGAUGCAGAAACCCCGCGUGCGGGAUGAAGGCCUUCGUGUUGUAAACCGCUUUAGCCUGUGACGAAGCGUGAGUGACGGUAAUGGGUAAAGAAGCACCGGCUAACUACGUG
rnacentral:rRNA from 1 species